rnacentral:rRNA from 1 species
GAUGAACGCUGGCGGCGUGCCUAAUACAUGCAAGUCGAGCGAACAGAUGAGGAGCUUGCUCCUCUGACGUUAGCGGCGGACGGGUGAGUAACACGUGGAUAACCUACCUAUAAGACUGGGAUAACUUCGGGAAACCGGAGCUAAUACCGGAUAAUAUAUUGAACCGCAUGGUUCAAUAGUGAAAGACGGUUUUGCUGUCACUUAUAGAUGGAUCCGCGCCGCAUUAGCUAGUUGGUAGGUAACGGCUUACCAAGGCAACGAUUCGUAGCCGACCUGAGAGGGUGAGCGGCCACACAGGAACUGAGACGCGGUCCAGACUCCUACGGGAGGCAGCAGUAGGGAAUCUGCCGCAAUGGGCGAAAGCCUGACGGAGCAACGCCGCGGGAGUGAUGAAGGUCUGCGGAUCGUAAAACUCUGUUAUUAGGGAAGAACAAAUGUGUAAGUAACUAUGCACGUCUCGACGGUACCUAAUCAGAAAGCCACGGCUAACUAC